rnacentral:other from 1 species
CGUCCCCUGCGGUGUGCGAUAGCGCAUCCAACCAUAUUGCCUUGUUCCUAUAUACGACCCCGGGGUGGCAGUGUUCGAGUCCGUGUGCAUGUCCGCCAUGAGCGGAAAGCCUGACGACCGGCGAGCCAUCCCACCUGAUCCUCGGGAUCAAGGUCGUUCGGUGCGUAACGGCAUCGCGGAGGACGC